UACGUAGGUGGCAAGCGUUGUCCGGAAUUAUUGGGCGUAAAGCGCGCGCAGGUGGUUCCUUAAGUCUGAUGUGAAAGCCCACGGCUCAACCGUGGAGGGUCAUUGGAAACUAGGGGAACGUUGAGUGCAGAAGAGGAAAGUGGAAUUCCAACGUGUAGCGGUGAAAUAGCGUAGAGAUUUGGUAGGAACACCAGUGGCGAAGGCGACUUUCUGGUCUGUAACUGACACUGAGGCGCGAAAGCGUGGGGAGC
rnacentral:rRNA from 1 species